GGGGGGGGAAACCCGCUCCGGGAGCGGGGUCUCUGCGCGCCCCCCGUGUAGCAGCGUCCCGCGGGGGACGCGGGCGGUGCCGAAGGUGAAGCCGGCACCGAGGGAACAAAGGCGGCGGCGGGGAACAAAGAGCGGCAGGCAAAAGUGAGCCCUGCACCUUUUUGAGUGCUAUUUCAGCUGGGGCCCAAAACCACGAUGAUUUGCAGAAGCAUCAAAGCUGGUUGCAACUUGACUGCCCUGCCUUGGCACACGCCUGCUCCAAUUCACACUGUCCUUGCAACAAAUCAACCCCCUUCCAGCUAGGAGCUGCUAAAGCCCUGUGCUCAGACUGAUGCUUUCACAGGGUGCUGCCAGUGAGGCUACCAAGUGACUGCCGUGGACCAGCCUUUGUGGAAGGUGAACGGCUGGAAGCUGUGAGAGCAGGGCUGUCACCUCCUGCCCACGGGCACCCAAAAUGAGCCACCCGGAUGGAUGCACGGGGCACUGGGGAAAAGACCGUCAGAGCAGCACUGCAGGCUACAGCCGGCAAUGGUGAAGGUAACUGUGGUGGGGAUCAGAAGCCCUUUCAAAUCUCAUGUGCCUUCUGAACAAGUGCACGGUCAGUUCAGCAGUGUGUCUUGCCCCAGCCUUCCCACACCGCUCUGAAUAGCAAACUCACGGAGCUGGAUGCUGCAGGAUGACUCUCAUACAAGGCAUCCAAGUAUCUCACAUUUGCAGGUCCCACGCGGGUGAAUGGCAUGAGCUUCAUGGUAGGACAUCCCUUCUAUAAUGCAGAAUUUGCACAACAAGAUUGCAGCAUUGGAGGGAAAUCAAAUUCCCUAAGUCUGCCGGAUAAAGUGUUAACUCUGAAGGACAGUGACGGCCGCGUCAACUAAGUUUGUUUGGAUACUCCAAGUCAUGUUUUCUCUGUAGUCUGCCAGAAAAAAACGUUGGCCCAGUGACCCUCCUCUUUCCCCGGUGUGCAACCCCAUGUGCCGUGCUGGCACGGUGCGUGCACUGGAGCGGGAGCUGGGAGCCAGAUGAAAAUCAUCCCAGAAGAAGAAUACUUUGUUUUCAGCUGGAUUGCUCCCAGGAUUUGAUUGCGGUAUGGACACACAAAGAGGUAUGUCAUCACGACUGAGGGGGCAGCAGGAUCCAGCACAGCGACGGGAACGCACUGCACAAGCUGGAGCUGGGAACAGGGCGAUACAGCAAGAGAACAAGGGACCAGCACCGUGCCAGAAACCUCAGCCUCCGUGCCCCACUGCUCUGUGUUCACCCCAUCCCUUGCAGCGGAGAGAAGGAUUGGGAAAGGGGAAGGAGGGGUGAGAGCAGAAACUCACCUUUGGACUUUCCUACCUUCCACCCUGCUGGCACAGCAACGCCGAGGAAACCGUCACUGCUGCAGCACUCACACUGCAGUGUAUUUGCAAGAGCACUAACGAGCUUGCAAUCAAGACCACGUUGCUCCUAUCAGCUUUACCCUCAUGCUCCAAGGCUGGCUGGUGCCUCCCAAGCAUACUGCAUCCCACCAGCAGUUUGGCACCUCAGGUUUGGCUCUAUUUUUGAGAAGCUGGGUGAGAGAAACCUGCCAAGAAACACUGUAGUCAGCUGACUGCAGCAGAAGCUGGGGAAACGCAGCGUAGUGGUCAAAUGCCAGGUCUGGAUUCAGAAACCUGCAGGACAUAUGAGAAAAGAACAGCGGCUGGGCAAGCAGCUUCUUUGCAAAAUAGCUCCAACAGCCCACCUGCAAGCUUCAGGUGCUUGUAAAGCAAAACUGGGCAGCAGAAGGCACCCAAGGGCUCAUGCGUUUUUUGUUUGAUCGCUUCCUCUCACCUCUGAGGCCCUUUCUGAGGCUCAGACAAGACCUGCAGUAGUUUCACUUUGAGCAGCGACUGUUUUCAUCUCUUGACAGCCUUUCCCUUCCUUGCCAUCUUCAGGAAAAGGCCCUUUCUCUGUAGUUGCAGGUCUUGAUAGUUCUAGGACACACCUGUGCUGAGGACAGCAGAAACAUCAGCACUUGCCUCCCGCUCAUGCUAUACCGGGCACCCUUCUCGCACCUCCGUUUUCGGGGAACAGCACCCUUGAGCAGCUCUCGGGCAGCAGCGGUUUGAGUUCCCUCUGCUUCCCCUGCAACGCCUCCAUGUCUUGGGUGGCUGCAGCCCAUUUGCAACCAUGAUUGAAUGGAGAACAAAAAAAGCUCUCGAGAGCAGGAAGUGGGGCUAAGGCUUCUUUGGAAGCAGGAUUUAGUAAUCCCAGUCACCACCUUUAAAAAUCAGUGCCCUUGGGCCCCAGCCAGCUCUCAGCUCUGUCAACAUCUUUACUGCCAACUUUACUAACAGUCACACAAAUGUAAAUCUAGUGUGAGAAGAGGAUUAAGCCCAUUCUGGUUUUAUGGCCUAUGAAAUGUCUACUGCCCUGCUGCCACUGUGCAGUGAUACAUAGCACAGAAAAGGGAAUUACGGCUGCCAUUGCAUCUUCAAAAUUUUAAAGAAAAAAAACGUAAUUCCAGAAACUUUACCAGCCAGUGAAGUGUAGCUGCAUACAAGGUUUCUUCUAAGUCAGAAGCUAAAAGCUUGUACCUUGCCAGAUGCUAGUUGAAGUACAUUAAUUUUUUCCCUGCAAAAUAAGAUUAGCAACAGCAAUUUUCCAUGCAUUCAAGUUCGGGAUUUUGUCUGCAAGGGGAUUAAAGCUCAGGCAAACGUCAGCCUGCCUGGAUACUGCCCUACUCCGUGUACUGCUCUCACUUGGGAUAAGACCCGUGCAGGGGACUCUUUAGGAAUCCCACUACAUUGAUUAUUUCUUCACUGAUGGCUCGGUUGGCUGAGAUUUGCAAGAAGGACCGAGGGAAUUAGAUUUAUGGUUUCUAAAAUAUUUCAGUCAGAUGUGGGUUCCUGACUCCCUUAGACUGAUAUUUUCAUACAAAAGGCUAGAAAGGAGUUUUUACUAUAAAAUUUAUUAUUGUAUUUCAGCUCGUGGGCUGGGAAUACAGUUUGGUUCCAGGUUUCUAUAAUCUUAGAGCAUGGCUCAGAUCUGUUAGCAGGAUUGCAAUGUAAAUACCACUAAAUAAUUGUUAUGACUAUUAACAGUGUAACUCCACUGAGCUGUCAGCAGAAAAACAGCCAAGAUGAAUACAUAUUUCAAUUACAGAUGCAGAAUUAUCCAUAUUUAUGCACAGGCCUGAAAAGCAGACAAUAUUUAAAAUAUACUUUGGGGCCAGAGAUACAAACUUUUUCAUUACCUUUAUUAUUUUCCAAUUUAUCCUGGUCUCUAGCUCGAAAGUCUCAUUCAGUCCUUACCUGUGUCAAGUUGUCGUCAUCUUUAGUGUACAAUUUUCUGUGUAACUGGGACUUUUUUUCGUCACAGGGGACAGGUAGGGACUGUAAUGAGGUAUUGCACUGACCCUCGAAGGCACGACUGAUAGCAUUUGCCAAACUGGAACUCCAUCUUCCUGGCAGACGCUCGCAUAGUCUACCUCUCUGUUUCAUCUUUCAGUCCUCCCGGUGAAAAUCUCUUGCUGAUCAGAAAGAAAAGUGGCGCAUGGAAGACAGACUGCAGUGACCUCCUGUUUUGGGAUUUAGUGCUGUUUGUUUUGGCAUUGCGGAUAUAUUUAGUAAACUGUCAUCUGUUAUUAUUUGUGUGGGGACAGCUCCCAUGUUUUGAGAAACGUUUGCUGUCCUGCAUCGCCCGGAGUCCUUAAAUUGCUCUUUCCUUUACACACUGCUCUAUUUUAAAAGCAGCGUAGCGGCCACGUCUUCUCCCUUAAACCCACCAUGAGGAUCCCGAGCUGCCAAACACUUGUGCAGCGGCACGGCAGGUUUUUUAGCCAAGUCUUCUUCUCCUGAGCAAAUGAUUUGGUAUUUAUUUGUAAAUAGUUUUCCUGAAACCAAGGGAAAUGCAUGCUAAAUAAGACUCUUUUGUGUUUUC